rnacentral:rRNA from 1 species
GCCCGCUCAGAAACUCAAAGGAAUUGACGGGGCCCGCACAAGCGGUGGAGUAUGUGGUUUAAUUCGAUGCAACGCGAAGAACCUUACCUGGUCUUGACAUCCCGGAGACCCUUAGGAACUAGGGGUGCUUCCAUCUGGAAGAAUCUGGAGACAGGUGCUGCAUGGCUGUCGUCAGCUCGUGUCGUGAGAUGUUGGGUUAAGUCCCGCAACGAGCGCAACCCUUGCCUUUAGUUGCCAGCAGUUCGGCUGGGCACUCUAAAGGGACUGCCGGUGUUAAACCGGAGGAAGGUGGGGAUGACGUCAAGUCCUCAUGGCCUUUAUGACCAGGGCUACACACGUACUACAAUGGCCGAUACAAAGGGCAGCGACACUGCGAGGUGAAGCCAAUCCCGUAAAAUCGGUCUCAGUCCGGAUUGGAGUCUGCAACUCGACUCCAUGAAGUUGGAAUCGCUAGUAAUCGUGGAUCAGCAUGCCACGGUGAAUACGUUCCCGGGCCUU